UAUUGUUUAGAUGUAUGUUUCAAAAUUUAAAAUUCGCAGUUAAGGUUAGUCUUCUAAAUUUAUAAUUGCCAAUAUGUAUGAAUAUUCAGAAUCUGAAGAAUCUGAAAACGAGCAAUACGAAAAUGUAACCGAUACUAAGCAAAAGAGCCUUCUAUUUUUCAUUGCCGCAGUAACAGCUAUUCAUAUUGCGCCGUUUAUCUUCAACAAGCUAAAUUUGGCAUAAGUCUGGAGUUGUUUUCAUAAAAUAGGAGUUUAUAUAUAGAAUUUCAAGCAAACGCAUUCUUCACCUGCCUUACGUAUCAAUACGGUCUAUGAAUCGUUAUAUUGUUAAUGAUGCAGUUAUGAGAGAAAUAAAUGGAACUGAACAAAUGGACAUGUUGUGUUUCUCCAUAGCUAUACGAUUGUGAUAUUCCUAAGUAGAAAGCAAAUGGUUGGAUUUGUUGGCCGUAGAGAUUAAAUUGGAACUAUUAUCAGCUGAACUGCAGUUUUCUAGUUGUUUCGCAUGACAUUAUAAUGGAUCUUAAUUUAUUUGAAACAUUUGAGAAAAUUAUUUUAGGAGUAAGGACGGUUGGAUUUCGUAUAAUAUCAAUGAUCGAGACGUGCUUAGAAGUAGUACACUAUAAAAAACACUUAACAAUCCAUUAGAAAGUCGCAGAAAAUAUGAAUCCACUGAAAUAUUAACACCGAUAAUGACAAAUUACCCUUGAUGAUAACGCCGUCAAUAAUUGAGGUAUAAGUGGUUGUUAAAAGGCAUUGUUACUAUAAAGUGUAUUUCACCAGACCUCUUGACUUCUACUUGCCCCUUGAUUUUGGAAUGGAGUCAUGCGGUGAUGGAGUGAUGAAGUGAUGGAAUGUAUAAUUUUUAAGAAAAGUAGUGGAGUAGUGGAAUGCUGUGACUAAAUCGAAAUGACUAUUCUACAAAUCUUUAGCAAAACUAGCUUAAAAUUAGAUCAAAUUAUCACCAUAUGGACAAUACUGGAUUAAUGAAACAAGUUUCUAUAUCUAUAUAAAAGGCCUAUAUGUAUAUAUAUAUAUAUGAAAAACGCGUUAAAUGGUCAUAUAAGUCAUUUAUUUGCCGACCACUCCAAGUUGCGGUACGUGUCUAGGUACUACUUCCGGAUCCAUCUAAUUUGAAAAAUCAAAUGUUGAGUCAUAAACAGAAGCGGAGGACAAUUUAUUCUUUGGAUCCCAUCCCUGUAACUUAAAUAAUUUGAGAAUUUGAGUAUACUGCAGACAUUUGUUUACCCAAUCAAACAAUGACAGAUUCGAAAAAUAUAGUUCCAUUUAGAGGUUAAUGUAGGCAAACGAAAGUUACAAACAUUGGAUAUGAUAACCAAGUUGAUUCGAAAUUAUAAAAGAUGGCUCAAUUGUCAAACACGUUGAAAGUUUUACUUACUUUACAAACGCAGUGAUUGCCUACUGCAGGACGGACCAGGAUACAAUGACAUUGGAAUUUUAAUAUAUGGCCGUCAUCGGAAUUGCUUCUAGAGUAUCGAGUUGAAAAAUAGGGUAGAAGAUAAAAAGACGGAGUUGGCAUUAAAAUAAUUACUUACAACCCCUAUUUGCAUGUACCGAAUUUAAUAGACAUUUUCAUCAUCUUUGGCAAAUAAAGUUAUUUUCGGCAAUUGAAAA